AGGAUGAACGCUGGCGGCGUGCCUAAUACAUGCAAGUCGAGCGGUAAGGCCUCUUCGGAGGUACACGAGCGGCGGACGGCUGAGUAACACGUAGGAACGUACCCCAAACUGAGGGAUAAGCACCAGAAAUGGUGUCUAAUACCGCAUGUGCUCUAAGGAGUAAAGCUUCGGCGGUUUGGGAACGGCCUGCGCAUGAUUAGAUUGUUGGUGAGGUAAUGGCUCACCAAGUCUACGAUCAUUAGCUGGUCUGAGAGGAUGAUCAGCCAGACUGGGACUGAGAACGGCCCAGACUCCUACGGGAGGCAGCAGUAGGGAAUUUUCCACAAUGGACGAAAGUCUGAUGGAGCAACGCCGCGUGCAGGAUGAAUGUCUUCGGAUUGUAAACUGCUUUUAUCUGUGACGAAUAUGACGGUAGCAGAUGAAUAAGGAUCGGCUAACUCCGUGCCAGCAGCCGCGGU
rnacentral:rRNA from 1 species